GCCGUGACCCCCCUGAUUGGAAGCUGCCGCCCGGGAAACGCAGGGCCUUUCGGGCAGGACCUGGGCUCCGGGCGGUUUCAGCCGCACCUGAGUGUUGAGGGACGGCCCGGGGCGCCUCCCCAAGUGGUAGUCGCCCCACCAUCCGUGCAAGCGGCUUUUUGUCCCCAGGCUGGGACGGUGCUGAGAAGCUCACAGUCGGGCGCUGGCGGGGCUGCCGGGCUGAACAGCCAGGUGGAGAAGUUGGGGGUGCGCAGCGUGGCUGGCCCACGUCGGAAGUCCGUCUGUCUGCUCACUUCUCUCCUUCAUGUGGCUGCUAAGCCCGUGACCUUCAGCCUCACUGCUUCACACACGAAGGGACGGCCUUGGCGUCCGUGAGGGUGGCUCCUUAGAAGUGGCCUUUGAGAAGCUACGUGGUCCCAAGCUGGACAGAGCGCCGUGCUCACCGUCACUCUGACUUGGCAGCCUGUUCCCACCGACCUGCCCGUCAGCUUGUCACCGAGAAGGCGGUGCCGGCUAGGCAGGUGCCUGGUGCCCAGUACUGUGCUGCAUGUGACCUGUGUCACUCCAGCAGCGAGUGCAGCACGUCAGGAGGCAGACUGUUGCUGCCACACGUCACGGGAGGAGAUGACAUUUGCACAGGCCGUGUGACCUCCCGAAGCCACCGCCUAGAGCCCAACUCGACCCCCCUGAGCGGAGAGCAUGCAGGCAGAGAGACAGCAGAGCGCGCCUUCUAACACACGUCCUCACAGCGGCUUUAGGCAGCAAGAGGCCACUUUCUUCAGCCAAUUACACAAAGAAACCCCCGAGGACUUGACAGAGGCGCUCCUGUGAUUAUCCCCGGCUGGUGGGGAAGGUCUGGCUCCUUUCUCACACCCUCACGCUGCCCCCUCCACAGGGCGGGACAUUGUAAGCUGCCCUGUGUGUCACUGUGCUGGCCCCUGUGACAAGCAGCACCCGAUCGGGGCCUCCUGUCACUUGGGCCUCAGGUAGCCAGAGGUAUGCCCAGGGUUUCAUCAGCGGGGCCUCUUCACAGCCAAACAAGGGCCGUGUUGUCACGGGCACCAACAGGCUUCUGGGCUGAAAUGACAGGAACGUGCGUCUCUCAAACUAGUGAUUUCCAGAGUGCCCCUCCCCCAAACUGUAGUUGUUUCCAUUUAAAUACCAUUUGAUUGUAUUAAAGAAGAGGCUUGCUCAUUGUAUUUUUUUGUUUGUUUUGU